GAGGGGCCCGCGCCUGAUUAGCUAGUUGGUGGGGUAAUGGCUCACCAAGGCUACGAUCAGUAUCCGGCCUGAGAGGGCGGACGGACACACUGGGACUGAGACACGGCCCAGACUCCUACGGGAGGCAGCAGUGGGGAAUUGUUCGCAAUGGGCGCAAGCCUGACGACGCAACGCCGCGUGGAGGAUGAAGACCUUCGGGUCGUAAACUCCUUUCGAUCGAGACGAAUGGCCUCCGGGUGAACAAUCCGGAGGAGUGACGGUACCGAGAGAAGAAGCCCCGGCUAACUCCGUGCCAGCAGCCGCGGUAAUACGGGGGGGGCAAGCGUUGUUCGGAAUUACUGGGCGUAAAGGGCUCGUAGGUGGCCAACUAAGUCAGACGUGAAAUCCCUCGGCUUAACCGGGGAACUGCGUCUGAUACUGGAUGGCUUGAGUUCGGGAGAGGGAUGCGGAAUUCCAGGUGUAGCGGUGAAAUGCGUAGAUAUCUGGAGGAACACCGGUGGCGAAGGCGGCAUCCUGGACCGACACUGACGCUGAUGAGCGAAAGCCAGGGGAGCAAACGGGAUUAGAUACCCCGGUAGUCCUGGCCCUAAACGAUGAAUGCUUGGUGU
rnacentral:rRNA from 1 species